AUUAGGCUUUGAAGGGGCCCCUAGGGAAAGGGGAGGCAGUGAAGAAAGGAGUUAGGGAGAAGGGCAGGGGAGGGGGAUGCGGGUUCCUUCCCUAGUCUCAAUGUUGUUCCGUUCAUUAACUAUGACCUGAGCAACCACCCACUUGGUGCAGAGCAAUGACUCCAGGAAUCUUGCACUCCUUCCCUUGGAUGCAGGAGGAGAGAAGAACGGUGCAGAAUGGCAUUCGGCCCACCGCUUUUCUCUCUCCCUGGCCACGUUUCUCCUGCUGUUACGGGCCUGGGCAGUGAGGAAUAAUAAUUGGCCAUUCCAUGGAGCAUGCACCCCGAGUCCAAGUCUCCAUUUAAGGUUUCCUUCCUGUAAACCAACAUGGCAUCUCCUCUAAAAAUCCCCCAGCUGGAAAUUUUUGGCUUUGAGAAGUCUUAAGCUCUGGACCCUGCAUGAACAGGAUGAACCAGCAGGGGCCUUGAAUGAGAAGAGUGCCUCUGAGCCUAGAGUGGGGAAUCAGUAGUGUUCCACCCCAUGUCUGGCACCAGUCUCUCAGGCCUUGGUUUACCCUUGGCUUCCUGGAUCAAGGCUGGGCUUAAGGAGAGAUGACAUUUUGGCUGCUCACCAGGACAGGGAAUUCAUCAAUGUGGGUUUCCUGAGGUUCUUGGAAAGAUAAAUAAAGACUACAGUGGAGCACCACCUUGUGCCACAUGGCACAAAAAUCACAUACUCUACUACCUCCCAGAACUGAAUGUUGGAGCAGAAAACUUAGAAGCCCUUGGCAAAUACUUUGGCAGCUUUUCUUCCAACAAGUGGCUCAUCUCAGCCCAUCAGUGAAUCCUAUUUGGAAAUUUCUAUGCAGGCCAAAGCCUAUACCCUGGAAGGCUCGUUUCUCCUUUGCCUCAUUAUUUUUUCUUAUGUUUUCCUUUCCUGUGGGUUUCUGUACCUCUUCAGCAACUAGUAAAGGUGACCUGGUUGCCUGCUCUUAGAAGAUAAAUAUUUCCUGUGAUGCAAUGGAAGUGCUCUGGAUUUGUGGUCAGAGGACCUGAGCUUAAAUCUGAGCUCUCUUACUUAAAAUCUACGAGACUGCUGGUCAGUCAUUUCACUUUUUUUGUCCUCAGUGUCUUCAUCUGUAAAAAUUAAAAAUAAAAAUGAGGGAAUUCAACUUAGAUGAUCCUUA
rnacentral:lncRNA from 1 species